CCUACGGGAGGCAGCAGUAGGGAAUCUUCCACAAUGGGCGAAAGCCUGAUGGAGCAACGCCGCGUGGGUGAAGAAGGUCUUCGGAACGUAAAACCCUGUUGUUAGAGAAGAAAGUGCGUGAGAGUAACUGUUCACGUUUCGACGGUAUCUAACCAGAAAGCCACGGCUAACUAGGUGCCAGCAGCCGCGGUAAUACGUAGGUGGCAAGAGUUAUCCGGAUUUAUGGGGCGUAAAGGGAACGCAGGCGGUCUUUUAAGUCUGAUGUGAAAGCCUUCGGCUUAACCGGAGUAGUGCAUUGGAAACUGGGAGACUUUAGUGCAGAAGAGGAGAGUGGAACUCCAUGUGUAGCGGUGACAUGCGUAGAUAUAUGGAAGAACACCAGUGGCGAAAGCGGCUCUCUGGUCUGUAACUGACGCUGAGGUUCGAAAGCGUGGGUAGCAAACAGGAUUAGAUACCCCUGUAGUC
rnacentral:rRNA from 1 species